CCUACGGGAGGCAGCAGUAGGGAAUUUUCGGCAAUGGGGGAAACCCUGACCGAGCAACGCCGCGUGAAGGAAGAAGGAAUUCGUUUCGUAAACUUCUGUUAUAAAGGAAGAAAGAUGAUAUCAGGAAAUGGAUGUCAAGUGACGGUACUUUAUGAGAAAGCCACGGCUAACUACGUGCCAGCAGCCGCGGUAAUACGUAGGUGGCAAGCGUUAUCCGGAAUUAUUGGGCGUAAAGAGGGAGCAGGCGGUAACAAAGGUCUGUGGUGAAAGCCUGAAGCUUAACUUCAGUAAGCCAUAGAAACCAGGUAACUAGAGUGCAAGAGAGGAUCGUGGAAUUCCAUGUGUAGCGGUGAAAUGCGUAGAUAUAUGGAGGAAUACCAGUGGCGAAGGCGACGAUCUGGCUUGUAACUGACGCUGAGUCCCGAAAGCGUGGGGAGCAAAUA
rnacentral:rRNA from 1 species